GGAAUUGCUAAAAUGUGCUUAAGUAAAAGUUAAAGUAUGAAUCAUUUCAACUUCCCUAUACAAAGCAAACCAGAUGACACAAUUAUUAUUAUUAUUUUUCUGAUGGAUAGCCAGGGGCAACACUCCAGCACUCAGACAGAAUUUACAACGAAGCAUGUGUGUUUAGUGAGUCUACCAGAUCAGAGGCAGUAGGGAUGGCCAGGUAUGUUCUCUGUUUAGUGAGUCCACCAGAUCAGAGGCAGUAGUGAUGACCAGGUAUGUUCUCUGUUUAGUGAGUCCACCAGAUCAGAGGCAGUAGUGAUGACCAGGUAUGUUCUCUGUUUAGUGAGUCCACCAGAUCAGAGGCAGUAGUGAUGACCAGGUAUGUUCUCUGUUUAGUGAGUCCACCAGAUCAGAGGCAGUUGGGAUGACCAGGGAUGGUUCUCUUGAUAAGUGUGUGAAUUGGACCAUUUUCCUGCCAAAAUGUAACGAGUACUUUUGGGUGUCAGGGAAAAUGUAUGAAGUAAAACGUGCAUUAUUUUUUUUAAGAAUGUAGAGUGAAGUAAAAGUAGACAAAAAUAUAAAUAGUGAAGUAAAGUACAGAUACCCCCCAAAAAUUACUUAUGUAGUACUUAAGUACUUUACAUCACUGAUUGUCUACGAUAAGGGGAAUGUAGAC
ensembl:lncRNA